CCUACGGGAGGCAGCAGUGAGGAAUAUUGGUCAAUGGACGAGAGUCUGAACCAGCCAAGUAGCGUGAAGGAUGACUGCCCUAUGGGUUGUAAACUUCUUUUAUAUGGGAAUAAAAUGUUCCACGUGUGGGUUUUUGUAUGUACCAUAUGAAUAAGGAUCGGCUAACUCCGUGCCAGCAGCCGCGGUAAUACGGAGGAUCCGAGCGUUAUCCGGAUUUAUUGGGUUUAAAGGGAGCGUAGGUGGAUUGUUAAGUAAGUUGUGAAAGUUUGCGGCUCAACCGUAAAAUUGCAGUUGAAACUGGCAGUCUUGAGUACAGUAGAGGUGGGCGGAAUUCGUGGUGUAGCGGUGAAAUGCUUAGAUAUCACGAAGAACUCCGAUUGCGAAGGCAGCUCACUGGACUGCAACUGACACUGAGGCUCGAAAGUGUGGGUAUCAAACAGGAUUAGAUACCCCUGUAGUC
rnacentral:rRNA from 1 species